rnacentral:rRNA from 1 species
GACGAACGCUGGCGGCGUGCUUAACACAUGCAAGUCGAGCGGUAAGGCCCUUUCGGGGGUACACGAGCGGCGAACGGGUGAGUAACACGUGGGUGACCUGCCCUCAGCUCUGGGAUAAGCCUGGGAAACCGGGUCUAAUACUGGAUAUGACUCCAUGACGCAUGUUGUGGGGUGGAAAGCCUUGUGCGGCUGAGGAUGGGCCCGCGGCCUAUCAGCUUGUUGGUGGGGUGANGGCCUACCAAGGCGACGACGGGUAGCCGGCCUGAGAGGGCGACCGGCCACACUGGGACUGAGACACGGCCCAGACUCCUACGGGAGGCAGCAGUGGGGAAGUCUUGCGCAAUGGGCGAAAGCCUGACGCAGCGACGCCGCGUGAGGGAUGACGGCCUCGGUGUAAC